rnacentral:lncRNA from 1 species
AGUCUUUUGUGAGAGGCAGGGCUUGUAGGCAUAUUUCAGUGGGUCCACUUAUUAAAGAAGCCUACAUUUUUCUCCAUAUAUUCUAAGAAACACCUGUUUCAUCAUAGGUCUGAGCAGACAGACAGAAGCCAGCACAACUGCAGGAGAAAUGAAAUGAGGUUCUAAGCCACCUUACAGCUUAUAUUGGCCCCACCAGUCUUUUUGUUCAUUGGUUACGUGAGUCAAAUUUAUAUCCCUAAAUCCGGAAUAUGCUGCCUCCAGAAUCCAAAGAAGCCUGAGAAGCAUGGUGAUUCCUUCUUAGUGGUGGAAAGAAUGAGUUAUACACAAGAUGAAUGGAUUAACCACUGGAAGACCUGCACUACUACAAAUGUUAAAGAAAGUCCUUCCAAGAAAGAAAAAAGGCAACUUAAUGGAAACUUGUGUCUACCAAAUGGAAAGAAGAGCAAUGGGAAUCCUAACUACGAGUGUGAGAAAAAAAGUUGAAUGUGGUGAUGGGGAAAACACUGAAGUUCAAAAGAAGCGAAGACAAGAAGCUACUCAUGGCAGCAGCUUUUCCCAUAAAUCAAGAAAUGCUACAGAUUAUAAAUGAGAUGAGACUAUCAAGAAGAGACCUAAUAGGAGUGUGAAGACCAAAAAUUUAAAAGACGUGGUUAUAUACUUUGAGUAAACUCUAUAUAUAGGACAAUGUUAUUGUUUGGUUCUGUGUUCCUCACUCAAAUCUCACCUCAAAUUAUAAUCCCCAUGUGUCAAGGGCAGGACCAGGUGGAAGUAACUGGAUCAUGGGGGAAGUUUUCCUCAUGCUUUUCUCAUAGUAAGUGAGUUCUCAUAAGAUCUGAUUUUUUUAUAAGCAUAUGGCAUUUCCCCUCCUAGCAUUUUGCCUCCUGCUGCCUUGCAAAGACGGCAGUUGCUUCCCCUUUGCCUUCCGCCAUGACUGUAAGUUCCCUGAGUCCUCUCCAGCCAUGUGGAACUGUGGGUUAAUUAAAUCUCUUUCCUUAUAAAUUACCCAGUCUUGGGCAGUUCUUUAUAGCAGUGUGAAACUGGACUAAAAUAGAAAAUUGGUACCAGGAGAGUGAGGCACUGCUGUAAAGACAUCACUAUAAAGGCACCUGAAAAUGGAAGCAACUUUGGAACUAGCUAAUGGGCAGAGGUUGGAACCAUUUGCAGGGUUCAGAAGAAGACAUGAAGAUGUGGGAAAGUUUGGAAAUUCCUGGAGACUUGUUGAAUGCUUUGACGAAAAUGCUGAUACUGAUAUGGACAAUAAAUUUCAGGCUGAGAUGCUCUCAGAUACAAAUAAAGAACUUGUUGGGAACUGGAAUAAAGGUGACUAUUUGCUAUAUAUGCUUUAGCAAAGAGACUGGUGGCAUUUUGCCUCUGUCCUAGAGAUCUGUGGAGCUUUGAACAUGAGAAAGAUGAUUUAGAAUAUCUGGUGGAAGAAAUUUAUAUGCAGCAAAGUGUUCAAGAAGUGACUCGGGUGCUCUUAAAACCAUUCAGUUGUAUGCAUUCACAAAGAUAUGGUUUGGAAUUGGAACUUAUGUUUAAAAGGGAAGCAGAGAAUAAGAGUUCAGAAAAUUUGCAGCCUGAUGAUGCAAUAGAAAAGAAAAAUCUCAUUUUCUGGGGAGAAAUUCAAGCCUGCUGCAGAAAUUUGCGUAAGUAACAAGGAGACAAAUGUUAGUCACCAAGACAAUGGAGAAUAUGGCCUCAGUCAAUGUCGGAUGUCUUCACUGCAAGCCCUCCAAUCACAGGCCUGAAGGAUUGGAGAGAAAAAAUAAUUUUGUGGGCAAGGCCCAGGGACUUGCUGCUUUGUGCAGUCUCUGAACUUGGUGCCCUGCAUCCCAGCUGUGUCUAAUAGUGGCCAACAUACAGCUCAGGCCAUUGCUUUAGAGGGUGAAAGCCCCAAGCCAUGGUGUCUUACAUGUGGUUUUGGGCCUGCAGAUGCACAGAUGUCAAGAAUUGAGGUUUGAGAACCUCCACCUAGAUUUCAGAGGAUGUAUGGAAACUCUUGGAUGUCCAGGCAGAAGAGUACUACAGGGGCAGAGCUCUCCAUGGAGAACAUCUGCUAGGGCAGUGCAGAGUCCCCACUGGGGCGCUGACUAGUGGAGCUGUGAGAAGAAGGCCACCAACCUCCAGACCCCAGAAUGGUAGAUCCACCAACAUCUUGCAUCGUACACCUAGAAAAGUCACAGACGCUCAACAACACCUCAUGAAAGUAGCCAGGAGAGGCGCUGUAUCCUGCAAAGCCACAGAGGCAGAGCUGCCCAAGGCUGUGGUAUCCCACCUCCUACAUCAGUGUGAUUGGAUGUGAGACAUGUAGUCAAAUGAGGUCAUUUUGGAACUUUUAAGACUUAAUGACUGCUUUAUUGUAUUUUGGACUUGCAUGAGGCUUGUAGCCCCUUUGUUUUAGCCAGUUUAUCUCAUUUGGAAUGGGACUAUUUAUCCAAAGCCUGUACCCCAUUGUAUCUAGGAAGUAACUGACUUGCUUUGGAUUUUACAAGCUCAUAGGCAGAAGGGACUUCCCUUGUCUCAGAUGAGACUUUGGACUGUGGCCUUUUGAGUUAAUGUUAAAAUGAGUUAAGACUUUGAGGAACUGUUGGGGAGGCAUGAUUAGUUUUGAAAUGUAAAAAGACAUGAGAUUUGGGAGGGGCCAAGGACAGAAUAAUACGGUUUGGCUCUGUGUCCCCUUCCAAAUUUCACCUUUAAUUGUAAUCGCCAUAACCCCCACAUGUCAAUGGUGGAAACAGGUAGAGGUAAUUGGAUCGUGGAGGCAGUUUCUUCUAUGCUGUUAUUCAUGAUAGCGAAUGAGUUUUCAUGAGAUCUGAUGGUUUUAUAAGCAUCUGGCAUUUCUUCUGCUUGCACUUCUCAUUCCUGCCACCUUGUGAAGAAGGUGCUUUUCUUCCCAUUUGCGUUCAACCAUUAUUAUAAGUUUCCAGAGGCAAACCCAGCCACACAGAAGUGUGAGUCAAUUAAACCUCUUUUUUAAUAAAUUACCACUCUCAAACAGUUCUUUAUGGCAGUAUGAAGACAGACUAACACAGAAAGAUAUAGCUGUUUUGGAAACAUCAGAAGUACAGUUGUAGCAAUAAAUAAAAUAUGAAUAGAUUAACUUUCGUACACCUAUUUGUGUUGAAAGCACCAGGAGUCAUAGCCAACAAUCACUUUAAUAUUUCUCCAGCUAAUUCUUCUGAUUUAUUUUUAUGUUUGGUUAGCCAGUGACUUCCCCACUAGCUAAAAAAUAUUUUUAAAAGUAUGUAUGUGUUAAUAUAUCUUGACUACUUUUUAAUUUUCCAAUUAAAAAAUAAAUCACACUUUAAUCUCUGUGUCUUGAUUUUUCUCAUUUAAGAAGAGCUCAUUGACUUAGGGGCUACAUACUAUAUGACAAGUUACAUAAAUCACAAUUUUCUUAAAUAUUUCCCUAUUGAUGGUUACUCAGUUUUAUUUUUUUUAUUUUUGCCAUUAGUAACAGUGAAGAAAUUAAUGAUCUUGCAUUUAAAUUUUAAGUACAGGUGAUUGGCUUCUUUUUACAACAUUAAAGAGUUGUAAUUGACAUACAAUAAACUGUAAUUAUAUAGUAGG